CCUCCAGCCAAUUUCGGCACGGCAGCCAAGACGAUAUGAGCAGUUUAAACGCACUGCUCAGAAUGAAGGUUGAUUUAUUCCUGUGGGAUUAACUUUGCUGUAGGAGGCGUUCACCCCCCUCGAGAGAGAUGAACAUCACAACUGGAGCAGACAUGGUUAAGGAUGGAGACGUCGCCAGUAUUAGCCAGUACUACUAUGAACUACAGUAAUGCUGAGUACUUUCUCCACAGACCACAUGAGGUCCAGGAGAUCAACGCUCCAUGCCAAGCUAAGACAGUUAUGCUGUAGUCCUGUUCAAAUCGUGCGAAUGAAGUGCUGAAUCAGUGUGGUACUGAAGACCAGUAUGCAAGGGUUGUGCCAGAGACAUUAGUGAGGCGUGAGGAGCGACGGGGGCUUCAAGGUGAGAGUAGGAUUAUGUCUGGGAUCGGGUUUUAACCCAUUCCUGUUUGCAGUUGUUACGGACAGAAUGACACAACAGGUAAAAGUGGAGAGAGUUAGGCAUGAAAGUCAGAAGAGGCAAUAGUCUGAAAUGGCUCCUCGCUACCUGUCAACUGCACAUAUUCUUCUUCUACUUUAAACUUUAAGCGGAAAAACUAGAGCGCUCACAGUGACACCCUUUUUUAUGAGGGUGAAUCAUUCAUACUGUGGUUUUCUCUCCACUCCAUGUGAAUUUGGGACAGUAUUAUACAAUUGGGCUAAGCCGCUUAAGCGUAGCUAUUGCCUCAGUCGGGCUGCUCUCCGCAUGUGACCAUAGUCACUGUUUGAACACGGAAAGAGGGAAGACAAGGAACACUGAAGAAUGUUGGAAAUGCUGGUGCCUAACAUAAGAAAGGGAGGAUGAUAAGAACAUGAUGAGGGUAGUUGGGGGAGACACAAAGAAUUCAAAAAAAAAAAACUCAGCAAACAGCCAGAUUCUCAACAUUCUAUUUUGAUGCUCAGUAAAUGACACCCAUCUGUCAAGACUUCAACGAGACACCUCCAUAAAAAUCUCACAAACAACAACGACCAGCUGUCAUGUUUUCAUUUUCCCCAAAAUACAAGUGCUUUAAGGUACUUACUCCUCUCAGUCUGGAGACAGGUUUCUACCAGGAAUGACAUAUCAGCCAUUUCACUGAGUGAUGCAGGACAACAGCAUGGGCAACAACCACAGAUGAACCAGCAAUGGUUAGUAGUCACUGUCAAUAAGCAUUAGGGAUUCUUGGUGCCCACAAAUCAGCCAGCGAGGAGGUUCAAAGCUUGCAGCUUCAAAGCUUCAAGAAAAGUCCACCUUGAUAUUGAAAAACAGGAUUUGGAUAUCUGGAUAUUUGUAUCACCUCAAUUGGGAAUCGCAAUACUAAUAUAAAUCUUUUAGUGAAACCGGAUUGUGAUGAAGUGACAAAAUGAAGACCCACAUGAGAGGCGGCCAGUGAUGGGCUGGUUGAGGCUUCACGAAACAAUGUUCUCAUUUUCAGAGCACAAUAGGUGGUGUUCUUGGUUUAAAAAGGACGUGUGGUUCCAAUGGAAUGGUUGUUGUAAUCCAUAUAUUUUAGAGCAGAGAGUGACAUCUAGUGUGCUUUAAAAAAAGAGGACAGUGUUUCAUGAAGCCUCAAAACCCAUCACUACAGCGGCUUCAAGGGUGGAGCAUGUCAAAGAUUCCCAUCAGCGAAUACCAAAGGCUGUGGAACAUGUUGAUAUUGACAAUAAUAUAGGCAGUGUUGGCUCUGACUUUAUUUGAUGAUUGAGCCCCAAGUGAAAUGUAUUCAAUGACUAAGUAAAGUAGAAGAAUUAACUUUUUUUUUUAAGAUUUUAUAAUCUAUUCUUGUCACAUUUAGUUGUCCGUCCAGCCGAUUCAUCGUGACUGUUCAGUGUACUUUCCUCACCACUUGCUAAACCAGUUGCCUUCAAACUUCCCUGAGAGUCUUUCCAAGUUGAGGAACACUCAUAGCAGGUCAGAUGGGUUUGGAUUUGAAACCAGCCAACUGACCAAGGAAUGUAGGACAGUGAAAUCAGCUGUGACCUCUUGAAUCUCACAAAUUCAAAUACCUGAAGUGUCCAGUGACCAAACAGAUAUGCCUUGACACUCUCACUGAGCUCUGCCUGGCUCAGAAGGCUCUGGCCUUUUUCACACUCAGACGCCUCUGGAAUUUUUGCCACAUGAGUGUUCAACAUUCAUAUUGCGGAGGAUUUUUAAUUUACAUCAAUAUUUUGAUAUUUUCGUUAUGUUUUCAUGUUUUGCAUUUUUGAAAUUUUACUCCUUUUUGUUGACAUCUUUCUUUUAUCCACCUUAAAAAAUAUAUAUGUGGAACUUUUGUGCUGCGUCUACUUUCAAAAAUGUCUGCCACUUAUUGAAUAUAUCAUGUCUAUUUUAAUCAAUUACGGUUUUGUAAGAUGACUGAGUCCAAAAGGAGAGACAUAAGAUCUCUUUGGCUUUCAUCAGAAAAAUGUAAAAGGAAGCAUGAACCUCCGUCCAGCUGUGUCACGGCACCUUUACAUGAAUCUUACAAUAAAUCUUUAAUUGAUAGGUUCAUAGCAGCUUGAGGCUUGAUAUAUCAAAGUGUGUGACUUUGGCGACAGCUUACGACUGUUCAAAUAUGUCAUGCGGAUAAUUAAACAGGAGCUCCUGCAGUGAGCUACAACCCACCAGAGACAUUGUUGAAGCCGGCCCUGUCACUUCAUGUCUCUGUUCAACAUUCUUUCAUCCGUUAGACCAGUGGUCCCCAGACCCCAGGCCGGGGACUGCUACCGGUACCAAAACGAGUAGGAAACAGCCGUCUUUGGAAAGUGUCUUUGUGAAGAGACACGACAUCCAUGAAGAAGAACAUUUUUAACGGACAACAGGAGUCGUACUUGAAAUAUGGCUUUAUCGUGGUCGGUGAUUCCCAGGUGCCAAGCCCACAAACAUGCAGAGGCCUUAUCUGACAGUUCAAUGUGGCAACUUCAUACCCCACGGGCCGCGUUCAAAUGGUCGAGCGUAGAUCAGUCCGCGGUGAUAUAAAGGUUGGGGACCACUGCAUUAGACAAUGAAACGCGACGUAUUACAAUAGGACGGUGAAGAAGGUGAGACCAUGACAGUGUCACAGAAAAGGUGGUCGGAAAGUGAGAUUUGAGUUUUAAAUGACCAACAGCAUAACUGGAUCUUACUCUGGCCUUCAAAAGCAUUUUGAACUCUUGAGCCCUCGGAAAAGUUCUGAGCUUGUUGCCUUGAUUCUCACUCCACUCAACUUUCAUACAUUUUAUUUGCAUAUUUGCUGAAACUGUUUGACCUUCCUUGGAGUUGUUGCAGUCGCUUCAGUCAGGGUGAUUUCGCUGACCACAAAAUGCAGUCAAUACUUCAAAUAAAUGUGGCAAAGCCCGUCUGGUAUUUAAACAUGUCAUUUGCUCUAAAUAUCAACAACGCCACCCUGGACUUCCAAGGGAAAAUUCAAUCAUAAAAAGAGACCUUCACUGAAUAGCAAGUUUUGUCACAACACACUCAUAAAAUAUUAAAACCAGUGAAGCCAAAUAGGGCUGACGCUCACAGUUACUUUGAGGUGAGGUGAAAAUAAAUGAGCCGAGUGUAGACACAGCAACACUCAACCAACAGGUCAGCAGAGGUCAGCGAAGCUUCAUGAAACAGGUGCCUUUUUAUUUGUUGGUUUUCAUGGUUGUUCAAAUCCAAUGAGUAUAGAAGGUGCUGUCUCUGAAGGUGAGGACAGUGUUUCAUGAACUAAGAUGGUGUAAAAAGUGCAUUCACAAUUGUUUUUUUGUUCUUAAUAUGGACCACCUGCUAACAGCCCAGCAAACUAAAUACUUCAUGAGGCAGCGUUCAGUUCAGAAAAAUUGAACAAAGCGAAGCAUCACUUUUCAGAUAAAUCUCCUCAGAUGUGCAGUAAUCCCCCUGAACAUCAGAGCAUGGCGAUAGUCUGGGGUGUUCUGAGCCCAGCUAAUAUCUUGUGACCCUGAAUGACAUUUUCACACCCCUUUUGUUUCAGAUUAAAGAGGGUAAUUACUGUAAACCUUCAGGAGCAUGUACGCUGUUCUUAUGUAUUUGUGGAGAUAAGAAACAAAACUGUUGAUUCAGCGCUGGAUUCCGUCAGGUGUUGGUGUGCCACUCUUUCUGCUCACACUUCUCUUGAAUCUUGAAGAGAGACGGACAAGGCAGAAUCUGAAUCUGGCCUCCUUCAUGUCCAGCCUUGUCAGCAUCACUGAGUGGAAGUGCCUCUCAGUGUGGCGUUGCCUUCACUUCCCUCAGUGUUGAGUUGUGUUUGACAGCAGCCUGGAUUCUGUUCCCCCAAAUUCAGCAUCAAGAGCAUCCUUGAAUCUUUUGCAGCUCUGCCGAAGUGUGUGAUGAUAUUUCUGGAAAGAGAUGACUCAGCCAUUUUGGCCUCCAACACUGAGCUUCUCCUGCCAACAGCAGCAAGUUUCCAAAACGUUUUGCUGACCUUUGUGAGAGGUCACCCAGCUGAUUACCAUCAUCAUGGUCUUCCUCUUGAAACUCUAUUGGAUGAAGAGGGUCACACUUCUUGUGUCUGUGGAAUUGUCACUGUAUAACGCUGUCUAUUUUUAAUGAGGCACUCCUCACAAAUUUCCCGAAAUUGCUCCUGUCAGCGGUGAGUGACCUUUUGAAGAGGUCGGUCAGAUGCCAGACUCAGCUGGAUGAUUCCUCUGAGGUCUUCUUCAUGAAGCAGGCUGUGACCCCCUUCAUCUUCUGAGAGCACACACACAUCAACAGUCUCCUAGACUAGUUCAUCCUGGUCCUUCACCAGAAGUGUCUCAGGUCUCAUCUUUUCAUGUCAAUGUUUUCUGUACAUAUUUCCAUCCAUGUCAUCCACUGUUGUGAACUGGUGAAUACGUUGGAUGAAAAACUUGUUUGUUUUUUUUCACGCACUUCAAGGGCUUCAUUUUAAAAGGCCAGUUGCCUUGUUGCCCUGAUUCUCACUCCACUUAACUUUCAUACAUUUUAUUUGCAUAUUUGCUGAAACUGUUUGACCUUUCUCAGAGUUGUUGCAGUCGAUUCAGUCGAAUUCAAAUAACCAGCUCAUUGCACAUGAACAUCCAAUCUGCACGGCAAUGUCUGAAAACUCCAUCACUCAUCUGAUCCCCUGUAACCUGUUCUUAUUCUCAACCAUCACAAAGACGGAAUCAGUCUCAGUAUCUAUACUUUUUCAGAAUCAGAAUCAGAAUCAAAUUUAUUGCCAUGGUCAGGGGUCCACUAACUAGGAAAGUGCUGACAAAAAUGUUUAAAAAAAUUAUAUCAUUUUUUUAAAUAAAAUUAAAUAAAUAGAAUAACAACAAGGCUGUUCACGAAUUCAACAGUCUGACUUGCCGAGGGGAAGAAGCUGUUCCUGUGACGGGAGGUUCUGGUCUGGAUGGACCGUAGCCUCCUGCCAGAGGGAAGAGGAACAAACAGUCCAUGUCCAGGGUGAGAAGGGUCGGCUCUGAUCCGACCUGCACGUCUCUGGGUCCUAGAGGCAUACAGGUCCUGAAGAGGUGGCAGGCUGCCACCGAUCACCUUCUCAGCAGAACGUACAAUGCGCUGCAGUCUGCACUUGUCCCUGGAGGUGGUUCCUAGGUAGCAGAAGGAGUCCACAAUAGGAAUAGGUAAACCAGCCAACAUGAGAGGGGACAUAGAAACUGUUACUCUCCUGAAGUCUAUGACCGUCUCCACUGUCUUCUGGGCGUUGAGCUCCUGGUUGUUGUGGCUGCACCAGGACACCGGCCGCUUCACCUCCCUCCUGUAAGCCGACUCAUCUCCAUCUGAGAUGAGCCCGAUGAUGGUGGUGUCAUCCGUAAACUUGAUCAGCUUUACGGACCCGUGGCUGGAGGUGCAGCAGUUAGUGUACAGAGUGAAGAGCCAUGGAGAGAGAACACAGCUCUGAGGAGUGUCGGAGACAGUCGUCCUGAGCUGCACACGCUGACUCGUGUUGAUCAGGAAGUCUGUAAUCCAUCUACUACCUAGCUGAAGUCUACAAACAGGAUCCUGGCAUAGGUUCCUGGGCAGUCCAGAUGCUCCAGAACGAAAUGAAGGACAAGGUUCACUGCAUAAACAGAGACCACUAGAUGGCACUCUCUGGUCUUUGGAUUUGAACAACCAAAUGAAAUGAAAACGCUCAUCACCAAGAGCGCCACCGACUGUGCUCUGAAAAUGAGGACACUGUUUCAUGAAGCCUCACCAGCCCAUCACUGGCUACUCAUACUGUGUCAUCCAAGAGUUUAUUGUAGUAAAAUAAAUACUAUAUAAAACUAUGACAUUGAAGCUGUGAUUCUCGUGGCACUGCAAGAGUCAGAGUUAGAUUGGUUCAACAAUGAGCAGCGGCAUUUCUGUAGGUGGCGCUCUCCGUUUGAAAACGAUUCUAGGUUUCCGUAAAAUGGUUCAAUGUCAAAGAUUUUGAGCGGAGAGUGCCAUCUAGUGGGCUGUUAAACUGAUGACACUGCUUCAUGAAGCCUCUUCAGCCCACCACUAGUCAUUCACACUUUGGACAGAAAUAUUCCAUAAAAAAGUAAUACCUGUGGAAUUAUUGAAAUCACAGUAAAGACGCACAAAAGUGUGGAUCAACUCGUCUGUUCUGCAGAUAUGUUUACAGAAAACCACCUAAAACAACCUUCGCCACCUUCAGCCACAGAAUGUUUUCAGGAAUGCACAGAUCAAUCUUUCUUCACCAACUUUCUGGUGAGGCAAAGGAUCCGUGAUGAAGGUUUAAAUUGACUUUUCAGCCUCUGAAAGAAUUAUUUUCCUGCAUGAGUCAUCGCUAAUUAGCGAGAGGCAAAACAAAGUGAAGGAUCAGUGGAGGCUACAAAAGGAAGCUGCGCUUCUGUGUGUGGAGAACCGUGACCCUCCGGGCUCCGCCAGCAUCUCCCACCAGAGUUAGAGGCGUUAUCACCAUCUCUUCUUGGAGAGUUUGUUAUUGACCACAGGCAGCUCAGCAGAAGGCUCUUACUUAUUAUCGUCACAGCAGUGGAAGUUCAUGGUCCAACGUACGGCGCUCAGUUUCAUCUUUCUCAAACUUUGUUUGUCCAGCCUGCGUUGGUGUGCAGGGUUUAUUAUGAUGGUGUGUCCGAGAAAGGGAGGCGGAUGAAACGCCUAAAUUGUUGCAGUGAUGAAACGGGGGCUUUGAGUUUGUGUCUAUUUGCGAGCUUUUUCAUGUCUGAGCGGGAGGUAAUUGACUUAUUUGCACAUCUGGGAGAAGCUGUAUAACCACCACAACAAUGACUGAUCCUCUCUUUUACAAGACAGAGCUGGUGGAGCUGCAAUGGACAGAUGUGACCAACGGAUAUGAAUAUUUCAUCAUCAGCACGUACUGUUUGACUGUUCAGACACUGAAGCGUACUUUUACAAUUUCAUUUUUUUAAGCAGAGCACCACAUUUGCUGUAAAACCAAAGGUUUGUUAUUGAAAACAGACUGCUCUUGUAAAAACCAACGUCUCAGACAGACUUCAAUUAAUAAGUUAGACACAUUCAACACGGCCUCACACUUUUCUUAACACAUUACCACAACAAAAAUAUUUAAGAGAACUGCUUUUGAACCUUAGAUUGUAAGGUCCCUGAGUGUGAGAAUGUCUCUUCACAUGCUUUGUAGCAACUAAAAUGUGGAUGGCGUGGUGCAGACAGCAGGGGAUGGGUCUCCAAAAAUGUUUCAAACAGGGUCAGAUAUGACAAGGGGAAUGUGUGGGUGGCCGACUGUUUCCCUUGACAUUUUUUGAACCUCAUAAGAGAACCGCUACUGAACGGCUGAAAUGAAAGUUUCCUUACAAAUAAAACUGUUUCCAUGUACCAGUGUAGCAGAGCUGCAUAAGUCCACACCAAAAUACUUCUGAAGGAAAAAGAGUGGCAGGGGAGGAAGGUGAUAUUUCAUUAGUGCAUAAACAAGGAACAUAAAGAAAAGAAAAGUUUUUCGAGAGAGUUUGUGGCAAUGCAGUUUAAAAUCUGAUCAAGGGUCGCGCACGCCCCCAGAUCUGGACCUGCCUUUGUGCUGGAUUUUGAUGCCUCACAGUAGAUAAAGAAAUCAUUUUAGACGGCACAUUUACAAUGCUAAUACGUCUCCAGAGACGUGCUUCCACCGACCCCCUUUCAUAUCAGGCUUCUUUGUCUCCGGAGCUCCUCUGAUAACACAAUCUUUGAUACCAAACUGGCAACGAUAGUAAAUGUAAACCGCCUGAAUCGUUUACCUUUGUUUCACAAACACUUGAUAGGAAGCAUCUGGCUGAAGCGUCUGCAGCAGCAGUGAUACAGAUAAGACCAACCUGUGGUGCGUCGGAGUCCCCGCAGAUAUGUCGAGGAAUUUAGGUCACAGCAGGUUUGUAUCCUGGCUCGCGGUGCUGAUAACACUUUGCUUCUGUAAAGUUUCUGUACACAUCACUUCAUGUUUUGGACCAGUGUUUAUUGAGGUUGGAGCACACUCUGGACAUCACCUUCAGUCUUGACUGAUAAACGGUAUUCAGCGCCGUCAGGAGGAACCUAACUAGAUGUUGGAGUGAAGACAGAGUAGCUCCACUUCAAGUCUCUGGUGAAUGGCUAAAUACCUGAGGGUCCAACCACCGGCAUCUUCCUCUCGUGAUGAUCCAAAGCUCAUGAGGUCCAAGACAGGGGAAAGUGGCAUUGCUUUUGACACUCUCUUUCACUGCGCCUUCACUUUGUGAAAAUUCAAUCGAUUGAGAAACUAGCAGCAAUGCCUUGCUCCAAAUGUCACAACUCCAGCAGACACAGGCCACAUCACCUGAAGACAUGCCGACCAUCCUCUCGCUCACCAACCGGAAUAUUAGCCACACCCAUGAAAUUUAAGAAGGAAAAUAGAUCUUUUCUUACAUAAGCCGCACCGGUCUAUAUAAGCUGCGGGUGCUGUCUGUGCCACAGAAAAUGCAUAAGGAUCACUAGUGAUCGUCCAAUUCUAGUUUUGAAACCGGGGUCCAGCAUGAUGAGACUGACUCAUGCAACAACCUCGGCAAUGUUCUGAACUUGAAUCAUGAACUCCUCCCAUUUACAUUUAAAGUGUUCAGAAAGCGCUGUUUUCACCCUCCAGUAGUUCGUCUCUGUUGGCAGAGCUGCGGACACGCUGGCGAAAACAGCGCAAUUUGAGCGCUUUAAAGGUAAAUAAAACGCCCGUGAUGUCAUCGGUUUGAUGUGGGGAUGAUGCUCAGCAUUGUUGCCAGCAUGACGCUCUUUAGACUGUAAAAAUGAGGGACGCUCCGAGAGACAGGAAGCAGCUUUUAUGAAAGUUCCCACUCCAGACGUUUGCUAAACUUUCACACACACACAAAACAGCAGCAGAUGUGCUCGAUUCUGUCUUUAAACGACACCUGAGGAGGGCUGGUUAGCGUUCCGAAUGUCACGCUCAGACUUUACGUGACAGACUGAAAAAGACCUCGGCAGUAGACAUGCUGUUGCCAAGUGAUCGGCGAGUCGGCAGGGAGGGAAGGAGGACCGGACGCAUCACAAACCGUGGGCAGUGCUUCAUCAGAGUGCUGGCUGUCACAUGUGAUUGGCAUUGACAGGUGGUGAUCGGCAUUCACAGAUGAUAUCAGACUUUUAUAAUGUGGUUGACCGAUUGGAGCAUCUCUAGCAAAAAUCCAUAUAUUAGCUGCAUCGUUGUAUAAGCCACAGGGUUCAGACCGCGAGACAAAGGUAGCGGCUUCUAGUCCAUAAAAUGCAGCAGCAGGGGUGUGAGCUGCUUGACAAGCGUUUUGGUUAUUCUAGAUCUGACAAUCAAACGUCUGACAAGAAAGGUCUCCUCCAGCCUCUGCUGUUUGCUAAUCCGCCCCGUAAUCCAAAAUGAUGGCCGACGCGACUGAACUAGAAAAGUCUCCUGCUGUCAGAUUGUGAUCUCUGACAGUAAAUCUUCACCAAAGCGCCGGCUAGAAAGAGCCGGAGUCGCUGUGAUCCGCGGAGGAGAACAAAGGGUUCCAGUCAGGGGUUUGGACCGGCCUGGGAUUACUGGGAGAGUAAAGCAGCUGCUGUGUCACUUCCACUUUCAUUAUGUGUCUGCUUAGUCAUCAGAGGUUUAAUCCUGGGAUGAAGGAGCAGCAUCAGGAAAGUGUUUAGCAACACUUAAAAGCCAGAUGGACGCCUCGUGUCUGCAGAGGCCAACCAGGACUGAUGCAGCGCUCGCUUGCUUUUCUUUGGCAUCAAAUCCCAUUGUCAAAUUGUUCCGACUCACUGAUCCUUUUCUCAGUUGUAGCUGAUGGACUGUUCUGACGUAUGCAAUCGUGUCGUCUGAACUUACAGCGGUAUGAAAAAGUAUCUGAACCUUUUGGAAUUUGUCACAUUUCUGCAUAAAAUCACCAACAAAUGUGAUCUGAUCUUUGUCAAAAUCACACAGAUGAAAAAACACAGUGUCUGCUUUAACUAAAACCACCCAAACAUUUAUAGGUUUUCAUAUUGUAAUGAUUAUAGCAUGCAAAACAGACGGGGGAGGAAUAAGUAACUGCACGUCGAUCAGGACUAAUCUUGGCCCAUUCUUCUUUACAAAACUGCUGCAGUUCAGUCAGAUUCCUGGGAUGUGUGGCAUGAAUCGUUGUCUUGAGGUCAUGCCACAGCAUCUCAACGGGGUUCAAGUCUGGACUUGGCCACUCCACAACGUGUAUUUUGUUCUCCUGAAACCAUUCUGAAGUUGAUUUACUUCUGUGUUUUGGAUCAUUGUCUUGUUGCAGCAUCCAUCCUCUUUUUUGCUUCAACUGUCUGACAGACAGCCUCAGGUUUUCCUGCAAAACAUCCAGAUAAACUUUUGAAUUCAUUUUUCCAUUAAUGAUUUUAGGCCCAAACCAUGAUGGUGACGAUGAGGUGUUUAUGUUUAUGGUGAGCUGUUCCAUUUUUCCUCCACACAUGACGUUGUGUGUUCCACUUUGGUUUCAUCAGUCCACAAAAUGUUUUGCCAAAACUUCUGUGGAGUGUCCAAGUGCCUUUUUGCAAACAUUAAAUGAGCAACAAUGUUUUAUUUAGACAGCAGUGGCUUCCUCUGUGGAGUCCUCCCAUGAACACCAUUCUUGGCCAUUGUUUUACAUACAGUUGAUGUGUGCACAGAGACAUUGGACUGUGCCAGUGAUUUCUGUAAGUCUUUAGCAGACACUCCAGGCUUCUUUUUUACCUAUUCUGCGCUGAACUCUUGGCGCCAUCUUUGGUGGACGGCCACUCCUUGGGAGAGAAGCAACAGUGACAGACUCUCUCCAUUUGUAGACAACUUCUCUGACUGUCGAUGGAUGAACAUCCAGACCUUUAGAGAUGGUUUUGUAUCUUUUCCCAGCUUUAUACAAAUAAACAAUUCUCGAUCGCAGGUCUUCAGGCAGCUCUUUUGAGCGAACCAUGGUGCACAUCAGACAAUGCUUCUCAUGAAGACAAUUCUUACCAGGUGUGUGUUUUAUAGUGGGCAGGGCAGCUUUAAGCCACUCAUCAGUCACACACUUGACUUAAAUUGUUUGGUAAAAAUUGGUUUCAAUUGCUCUUUAAGUCUCCUUAGGCAGAGGGUUCAGUUACUUAUUCCUCCCCCUUCUGUCAUUGUUUGCAUGCUACCACUGUAAUUUCCAGAUACCACUGCAAGCCUCGAAUUUAAAAAAAUGAUUGACAGCAUCAGUCAUUCUUAAUCUGAAACGGCUGCCCUUUAUUUAGUUUGGUUUAAUAAGUCACUGAACAUGGACCACUCUGAUCACAGAGGAAAAUAUGGUUUGGAACAGAUAAGAGCUCGCUGAGAUCUUUCCUACACAAACAAAGAGAACAGACAAAAGUACAGAGUACCAUGCAGUAGAAGCAGUAAAACUGCAGGGUUCCAGUUGUGACUGCUUAUCUUCUGGAUACAGCAGAGAGCCAGUUGCACACUGGGACAGAUCUGUUUCACCAUUUGAGUUUUUGAAUAUUAACUUGAUAAACAAUUCAUCAUACACUGUACUCACUUUAAUUCUGUGCAAAAUAAUUGUACCCCGAUGGGAAAGAAAUAUUAUACACACUUCACUGCAUAGUGUACAAGUCCAGUGAAUUUGAUACCACUUCUUCACCUAUUUUCGAGUGGACUUUUGCCUCCAAUGGUGACAGAGAAGUCACAUAGGUUCAAAUAGAGUAAAAUGUUGCGUAACAUUCCAAGAGAGUGGUUGAAGUAAGGCCAAAACAUUGGAUGUUUCAUAUUUUAAACUACUCAGAGUAGCCACUGUUUUCUUGGUUGGCAGCGCUGCAAAUGCGUGGCCUUCUUAUUGACCUUCAUGAUGUAGUGUUUUGGCAAAACAUUUGGCUGUUUUGAAGAAUCUAAAAUAUUAAACAUAAAUAAAAUGUUUUGAGUGUUUUCUAGAUACUUUUAUGUCUUCAUUCAUAAUUUUGAUGCUUUUCAGUGAGAAUCUACAAUGUAUUUACACUGUCAUAAAAAUAAAGAAAAUUGAAUUCAAAGACUUUGACUUGCUUUUAACUUUGAAACAUAAACAAGCUGAAGGGCACAUUCAGUGCCAAUGUGAGUCACAGUCCUAAGAUUAGGUUCAUCAGAUCCACGACCAACACGAUUUGCAUGACUUCAACUCAUCGUCGUG